rnacentral:rRNA from 1 species
AACGAACGCUGGCGGCGUGCUUAACACAUGCAAGUCGAACGGAAAGGCCCUGCUUUUGUGGGGUGCUCGAGUGGCGAACGGGUGAGUAACACGUGAGUAACCUGCCCUUGACUUUGGGAUAACUUCAGGAAACUGGGGCUAAUACCGGAUAGGAGCUCCUGCUGCAUGGUGGGGGUUGGAAAGUUUCGGCGGUUGGGGAUGGACUCGCGGCUUAUCAGCUUGUUGGUGGGGUAGUGGCUUACCAAGGCUUUGACGGGUAGCCGGCCUGAGAGGGUGACCGGCCACAUGGGGACUGAGAUACGGCCCAGACUCCUACGGGAGGCAGCAGUGGGGAAUAUUGCACAAUGGGCGGAAGCCUGCUGCAGCAACGCCGCGUGCGGGAUGACGGCCUUCGGGUUGUAGACCGCUUUCGCCUGUGACGAAGCGUGAGUGACGGUAAUGGGUAAAGAAGCACCGGCUAACUACGUG